rnacentral:rRNA from 1 species
UACGUAGGUGGCAAGCGUUGUCCGGAUUUACUGGGCGUAAAGAGCGCGCAGGCGGUCGUUCAAGUCGCGUGUGAAAGCCCCCGGCUCAACUGGGGAGGGUCACGCGAUACUGAUCGACUCGAAGGCAGGAGAGGGAAGUGGAAUUCCCGGUGUAGUGGUGAAAUGCGUAGAUAUCGGGAGGAACACCAGUGGCGAAGGCGGCAUCCUGGACCGGCAUUGACGCUGAGGAGCGAAAGCCAGGGGAGCAAACGGG